UACGUAGGGCGCAAGCGUUGUCCGGAAUUAUUGGGCGUAAAGAGCUCGUAGGCGGUUUGUCACGUCGGAUGUGAAAGCCCGGGGCUUAACUCCGGGUCUGCAUUCGAUACGGGCAGACUAGAGUGUGGUAGGGGAGAUCGGAAUUCCUGGUGUAGCGGUGAAAUGCGCAGAUAUCAGGAGGAACACCGGUGGCGAAGGCGGAUCUCUGGGCCAUUACUGACGCUGAGGAGCGAAAGCAUGGGGAGCGAACAGG
rnacentral:rRNA from 1 species